UACGUAGGGGGCAAGCGUUGUCCGGAUUCAUUGGGCGUAAAGGGUGCGUAGGUGGCGUCGUAAGUCGGGUGUGAAAUCUCGGGGCUUAACUCCGAAACUGCAUUCGAUACUGCGGUGCUUGAGGACUGGAGAGGAGACUGGAAUUUACGGUGUAGCAGUGAAAUGCGUAGAGAUCGUAAGGAAGACCAGUGGCGAAGGCGGGUCCCUGGACAACUUCUGACGCUGAGGCACGAAAGCUAGGGGAGCAAACAGG
rnacentral:rRNA from 1 species